GACGAACGCUGGCGGCGUGCUUAACACAUGCAAGUCGAACGGAAAGGCCCCUUCGGGGGUACUCGAGUGGCGAACGGGUGAGUAACACAUGAGUAACCUGCCCUUGACUUCGGGAUAACUUCAGGAAACUGGGGCUAAUACCGGAUAGGAAUCCUUGCUGCAUGGUGGGGGUUGGAAAGCUUCGGCGGUUUUGGAUGGACUCGCGGCUUAUCAGCUUGUUGGUGGGGUAGUGGCUUACCAAGGCUUUGACGGGUAGCCGGCCUGAGAGGGCGACCGGCCACAUUGGGACUGAGAUACGGCCCAGACUCCUACGGGAGGCAGCAGUGGGGAAUAUUGCACAAUGGGCGGAAGCCUGAUGCAGCAACGCCGCGUGCGGGAUGACGGCCUUCGGGUUGUAAACCGCUUUCAGCAGGGGCGAAGCUUGUGGUGACGGUACCUGCAGAAGAAGCACCGGCUAACUACGUG
rnacentral:rRNA from 1 species